UCAUACUAACAGAGACCGAUUGCAAAACUAAAGCAGGUUAACAUGAAAAAUUUGGAUGUUGAUGGAUCUCUGACCUACAAGUCCCUAAAACCGUUGAUUCUAAUUUUAACAUGCCUGGGUUUAAAUGGAUUCAGCGUAAAGACGAUUGUUCAGGCGUUAGUUAGUGUGGUUUCUAUAAAUAGUAUGUUGGUACUUGUAGUCAACAUAGCGUGGUGUUUAGUUGGAGCAGAGACAGUUAUGGAUCAUAAAAAUAUUGCUAUCUACACUGGGUUGAUGCUUUCGUACAUUAUGUUAGUAAUCGUAAUAUUGUAUGGAAUGAUAUACGUUCCUUCAAAACUAUAUUUGUUAGUUAAAGCAUGUGAUGAACUCCGAUCUGAUCCUCAAUUUGAUGUGUCUUAUGAAAACAUAAGAAAAUUUACCAAAGGUAUGGUGAUUAUUAUUGUGGUAGCCUGUUUCAUGGUGAUGUUUUCUCAGAUUUUUUUCACUCCUGCUUUCACGAACGAUUAUAUAUGUCUCAUGUCACCUGUGAGGGCUGGUUCGUGGUAUUACUGGAUUAACAUUGUGAAUAUCUUCCCUGCUGCUGCCCUUUUCUUUGGACAUAAAUUUAUUAUUAUCCUGACAAUAGGCGUACUGUGUAAAAUUGUUACGAUAGAGUUCACUGCAUGCAACACCGGGUUCAGGAAAAUGUUGGAUUCAGAUCAAACUACUGAGAAGGUCGAGAUGAUACGAAAACGAUACUUCGCUAUUACCAAAUUCGCAGAACAAGUAGACGAUUUCCUGAAUCCAUAUGUAGUACUAGAAAUUGGUGUAUCCUUUACAGGAGUGUGUUUGUAUAUACAUGCUCUAGCCUACGGUAAUACCAGUCUUGUAAUCUUCCUUGUCUGGGUUGGAAUGCUGUUUUUGCUACGUCGGAAAUGCUGUUAGUUUUAAAAUUUGGAGUAGCAUUAAAUGAAAGUACAAAACUGUGUUUAGAGACGACGAAAUAUUUGGAUGGGAGAAAAAUGAAUCAGGAAACAAUUUCUCUGGUCACCUUGUUUAUAGAAAACAUGAGAAGUGGAGAUGUCGGUCUGACUUUCAUGAAAUUAUUUAUUCUCGAUAAAACUACCAUGGUAACGGUGUUCGGGACGUUGAUCUCCUAUAUAAUAGUUAUCAUGCAGUUUAAACCAAGUUAAAGUACUGUUUAAUGUUUCAAUACGCCAUUUUAGCGGUAUAGGAAACAAUAUUGUAAAAGAUGAUUCUCUUAUAGACCCUACAGUCUUAAAAUGGAUCAAUUUUGUUGUGUGCUGCCUCGAUAUGUAAUAAGCCCGCCGUCAUUUUGUUGUCCUCUUGACAUUUAUUGGCAUGCCUGUUUUAAAUCGAAUCCAACCCGGGACAUAAUCUAGCGUUAGUAUUUUGCCAUUGUUCUCUUACUCAUAUAUUAAAACAAUCCAAGCCGGGGCAUUAUCUAGCGUUAGUAUUUUGAUUUUGUUCUCCUAAUCAUAUAUUAAAUAAUCAACCUCUGUACAUAUUAUCAUUGAUUAGGACAUUAGAAAUCUUGAUGUUUAAACAUACAUUAUGCAAGAGCUAAAUCUGCCAAUUGCAGGGCUUUCUUUGGGCUUGAAAUUUUAUCUAAAUUAUUAAUUAGACAUUAAUUAACUUAUCCAGACCAUAAUCAACUCUCGAUGCGAUAUUUACUGCAUAUUUGUU